rnacentral:rRNA from 1 species
UACUGAUUGGAUGCGGGGCCUUCACCGGCUACCAAUUCCUGACAAACUCCGAAUGCUAUGAAAUGAUGUACAGCAGUGAGGGCAUGGGUGCUAAGGUCCAUGUCCGAGAGGGAAAGAACCCAGACCAUCAGCUAAGGUCCCCAAAUUUACACUAAGUUGACCAAACGUUGUUUGAUUGCAUUGACAGCUAGGAUGUUUGCUUGGAAGCAGCAAUUCAUUUAAAGAGUGCGUAACAGCUCACUAGUCGAGCGAUCGAGCGUGGAUAAUAAUCGGGCAUAAGUAUGACACCGAAACUGUGGAUUCUAUGGUAGGGGAGCAUUCCAGCAGCGCUGAAGGUGUACCGUGAGGUAUGCUGGAGCAUCUGGAAAAGAAAAUGUAGGCAUAAGUAACGAUAAUUAAGGUGAAAAACCUUAACACCGAAAGACUAAGGGUUCCUGAUCAAUGCUAAUCAGAUCAGGGUUAGUCGGGUCCUAAGGCGAACCCAUUGGGGUAGUCGAUGGAUAACAGGUUAAUAUUCCUGUACUUGUAUAUACUGCGAUUUGGGGACGAAUCGACGUACUUGCUACGUGCUGACGGAAAUGCACGUUGAGCCUAGUCUUCGGACGAAGCGAAGUAGGGAAAUUGGUUCCAAGAAAAGCCAAUAAGCUUCAGGUAUAUACAACCCGUACCGUAAACCGACACAGGUAGUCGAGGAGAGAAUCCUAAGGUGCUCGAGUGAUUCAUGGCUAAGGAACUAGGCAAAUUGGCCCUGUAACUUCGGAAGAAAGGGCGCUUCCCCACUUCGGUGGGAAGCCGCAGUGAAUAGAUCCAGGCGACUGUUUAUCAAAAACACAUGGCUUUGCUAAAUCGAAAGAUGAUGUAUAAGGCCUGACACCUGCCCGGUGCUGGAAGGUUAAGAGGUGGGGUUAUCCUUCGGGAGAAGCUCUAAAUUGAAGCCCCAGUAAACGGCGGCCGUAACUAUAACGGUCCUAAGGUAGCGAAAUUCCUUGUCGGGUAAGUUCCGACCUGCACGAAUGGUGUAACGAUCUGGAUACUGUCUCGGCCAUGAGCUCGGUGAAAUUGUAGUAGCGGUGAAGAUGCCGCUUACCUUCAACGGGACGGAAAGACCCCGUGAACCUUCACUACAGCUUUGCAUUGAAUUUGAAUUAUUGAUGUGUAGGAUAGGUGGGAGACUUUGAAGCUGGGACGCUAGUCUUGGUGGAGUCAACCUUGAAAUACCACCCUUUAAUUGUUUGAAUUCUAAUCUCUAACGGGAGACAUUGCAUGGUGGGUAGUUUGACUGGGGUGGUCGCCUCCAAAAAAGUAACGGAGGCUUCUAAAGGUACCCUCAGCACGCUUGGUAACCGUGCGCAGAGUGUAAUGGCACAAGGGUGCUUGACUGUGAGACCGACAAGUCGAACAGGAACGAAAGUUGAGCAUAGUGAUCCGGUGGUUCCUUAUGGAAGGGCCAUCGCUCAAAGGAUAAAAGGUACUCCGGGGAUAACAGGCUGAUCUCCCCCAAGAGCUCACAUCGACGGGGAGGUUUGGCACCUCGAUGUCGGCUCGUCACAUCCUGGGGCUGGAGAAGGUCCCAAGGGUUGGGCUGUUCGCCCAUUAAAGUGGCACGCGAGCUGGGUUCAGAACGUCGCGAGACAGUUCGGUCCCUAUCUGUUGAAGGCGUUAGAAGUUUGAGAGGACCUCCUUUUAGUACGAGAGGACCGAAGGGGACGAACCUCUGGUGUACCUGUUGUGGCGCCAGCUGCAUCGCAGGGUAGCUAUGUUCGGAUGAGAUAAGCGCUGAAAGCAUCUAAGCGCGAAACUCGCCUCAAGAUGAGACUUCUUUUAAGGGUCGUUAAAGAUUAUGACGUUGAUAGGUCGCAAGUGUAAAGGCAGGAAUGUCAAAGCUGAGCGAUACUAAUUACCCGUAGAUUUUUUGCA